rnacentral:misc_RNA from 1 species
AGCAGAUUUAACUCCUUUGACUGCAAAAAAGGUUGCUGUAAAAUUUGAUUUUUUCAAGAUUGCAGGUCUGAUACCCGUUAAGGCACCUGGAAGAGCUCGUGGUGAGUUGGAAAUUACAUAUUUGGAUGAAGAACUGCGAAUUUCCAGGGGUGACAAAGGAAAUUUGUUCAUCUUGAAAAUGAUUGAUCCCUCUUACCGUGUACCCGUCUGAUGUGUUGAUCACAUUGAGGCACUGUAAUCUUUUGGGUGGGCAGACAAUGAGAAUGAAAAGCUUACUGCAGAUUUUACUCAGACAUCCCUUAGCUUCGUUUGUUGUAUAAAAACGGUAUAGAAAACAGUUUUGCUUGUUAGCUUUCUUUUUUUCAGGCCUGCAAGUUUUGUAUACGGACGUGCCGACUCGUUUCCUGUAUAUACAUUUACCAUUUGUGAAGCUGUAAAAUUCAGAUGACUGAAUAUAUUUAUUGUUAUGAGAAAUCAGAUAGGAAAAUGUAUAUACAGGAAAC